CCGCAUGGAGUAACCCAAGGGUGAAUCUGAGCGAUUUAAAAAUGGCGGAUGUCGCCGUUGGUUAUGUUUCUUCAGACGUGAUGGCGGAUUCCAUAGAUCCUAUGAAAACAUCUAUUACGAAGUCUGAAAAAUAUAAGGAAAGAAUUUAUGCUGUAGUGUUCCUGAGCACUGUUACUGGCAUUUCUGCUCUCGCGGGCUUUUCAAGAGCAAUAGCAACUGCCAGAAAGCAAGAUCCAAAAUACUUUGGUAAAGGAAUCUCUAGUGUUCAAGGGCUGCAUGAAACUGGAGCCUCAUUGGCACUGAGAGCUCUUGCUUGGGGUUCGUUUUAUGCUAUCACAGGAUGUGGUUUACUUUUCUAUGGAAUCUGGAAGAUUUCUGGAGCCACUAAUGCGGAAGAAUUUAGGUUUAAGAUGGGCUCUUUACUACCGAAAAUACCAAAAAAUGAUCCACCUCAAAGCAGGACAGAAUUUGGAGGUUUAAGAGAUUUUUUGACAUAUAUUUCUGAGGAUUGGGGACAAAGCAAGAAGGAAUAAAAAUUCAAGCGCAUAUACUAUUCACCUUCAUCCCAUGAUCGCUUGUACCGUUGACAUCUGGCAACGGUACGAUUAUUUAAAGAUCGUACGAUCGCGUAUACAUCCAACAUAUUCAAUCGAUUGAGCAAGAUAUUUUCUUUUCGACGCGUGCUAGUUUAUUGGAAGGCCUUCUUCUUAAGAUUUUUAUCACGUUAUGAAACGCGGGAAAUUGUGGCAUUUCUGGAUCGAAGCACAGCAGAAUAUUGUAGGAUUAUUAAAGAACACUCCCGGACAAAUCAACUUCAAACUGACUGAGGAAUGUCAUAAAAUAUAGUACGCUAAAAGUAGGACGCCUUGUAUACAUAACACGGAGAAUGGUUCUAACCAAAGGCAUCUAAUCUAUGGAAAAGCGUUACCAGAGAAAGUGUAGCCCUACUAUGUUAGCAAACUACUACUGUCGGACA